rnacentral:rRNA from 1 species
UACGUAGGGGGCAAGCGUUGUCCGGAUUUAUUGGGCGUAAAGAGCGUGUAGGCGGCCAGGUAGGUCCGUUGUGAAAACUCGAGGCUCAACCUCGAGACGUCGGCGGAAACCCUCUGGCUAGAGUCCGGAAGAGGAGAGUGGAAUUCCUGGUGUAGCGGUGAAAUGCGCAGAUAUCAGGAAGAACACCCGUGGCGAAGGCGGCUCUCUGGGACGGUACUGACGCUGAGGCGCGAAGGCCAGGGGAGCAAACGGG